GCGGUCGUGGCGGAAUUGGUAGACGCGCAGCGUUGAGGUCGCUGUGAUGGCAACAUUGUGGAAGUUCGAGUCUUCUCGACCGCACCA
rnacentral:tRNA from 1 species